rnacentral:rRNA from 1 species
GAUGAACGCUGGCGGCGUGCCUAAUACAUGCAAGUCGAGCGAACGGACGAGAAGCUUGCUUCUCUGAUGUUAGCGGCGGACGGGUGAGUAACACGUGGAUAACCUACCUAUAAGACUGGGAUAACUUCGGGAAACCGGAGCUAAUACCGGAUAAUAUUUUGAACCGCAUGGUUCAAAAGUGAAAGACGGUCUUGCUGUCACUUAUAGAUGGAUCCGCGCUGCAUUAGCUAGUUGGUAAGGUAACGGCUUACCAAGGCAACGAUGCAUAGCCGACCUGAGAGGGUGAUCGGCCACACUGGGACUGAGACACGGUCCAGACUCCUACGGGAGGCAGCAGUAGGGAAUCUUCCGCAAUAGGCGAAAGCCUGACGGAGCAACGCCGCGUGAGUGAUGAAGGUCUUCGGAUCGUAAAACUCUGUUAUUAGGGAAGAACAUAUGUGUAAGUAACUGUGCACAUCUUGACGGUACCUAAUCAGAAAGCCACGGCUAACUACGUGC